rnacentral:lncRNA from 1 species
AUGUGUUUCAGCUCUCCCCUUCAGGAUCUGCCUGUGGGUCAUGCCCUGCAAGUCCCCUACACAUUGCUCUGCAGUUAUCUGCUGCUCUGUAAGAGUGGAAUGGUAACUUCCAGUUUUCUUGUUAAGGAAAAGACAAAGUUUACCAUCACUUUCCAAACACAGAAGCGUUGUCUUGGCAGCAAUUGGGAAUACAGCUUUCUUUUUGCAGCAUGUGAUCAUCCAAAGAAAACAACGCAGAAAUCAGACACACAAAAAAAAUACUCUAAUUGCUCUAAAUGCAAGGAAGAAAUCGCACGACCUCUUUUCUGUUUGGAAAGCUG